UACGAAGGGGGCUAGCGUUGUUCGGAAUUACUGGGCGUAAAGCGUGCGUAGGCGGCUGCUCAAGUCAGGGGUGAAAGCCCAGAGCUCAACUCUGGAAUUGCCUUUGAGACUGAGUGGCUUGAGUACGGGAGAGGUGAGUGGAAUUCCCAGUGUAGAGGUGAAAUUCGUAGAUAUUGGGAAGAACACCAGUGGCGAAGGCGGCUCACUGGACCACAACUGACGCUGAGGCGCGAAAGCUUGGGGAGCAAACAGG
rnacentral:rRNA from 1 species